CAGGAUAAUAGCUAAAAUCAUUGAUGAGGCUUAACAUCGAUUGCUCAUGUUCAAAAUUCAAUUAGAUUAUUCAAGAUGCUUUGUUGCAUAAUUCCAUACUGAUCUAUCUUUGAAUAAUGCAAGCAGAAUUCAAAAAUAUUCCUUGAUGGAGUUUGGUACCAAAAAGCUGAUCAAACUUCAGGAAGUUGAUGAGGAGUUCGUUCCCUUGAAAAAUCUUUUCUAUAUGAACUCUGUCUCUCUUUCAACCUGCUGUCCUGUCACUGAAAUCCAUUGCAAUGCAGAAUUCAUGGAUACUCGAGAAGCUUGCUUGGAUGCACUGUUUCUUUUCUCAGACAACUUACUACAAAGGCCUGCUAAAAACCUCGGUAUCACUUAUCAUUGGCUCGUUUUGUCCAAGGAUGUCAUUACUAAAAUUUUCAGUGAUACAGGAGCAUCAGUACAUAAUGGAUUGAUUGAGCCCUUUAUUUAUCUCAGCACCCACAGUACUGUGCCAUCGACAGCAUACUGAGCGCACGAGUUGAUGAUAAAGGAUUGAAACAUGUAGUAUUUUGCCGGAUUAUGAGUCGAGACCUUCCUCAAGUGGUCAUGACAUGGAAUCCAGAUGUCGACAAGCAUAUUCAGCCACUUUAUGUCGUGACUAUAAAACCGGUUGGUAAAAUAGAAGAUUUAUUAAGGAAGUAUGAUAUCGAAUCACUGGCAAUGUCACCGCUAGUGUUGAAAAAGAUGCCAGAAACUCUAACUAUGCUUUCAGAGCAUUUAUCUUUGCCGAUGAUGUAUUUGCUUAGGAAAGCUUUUAAUGAUUGUCAAGAACAGAAGAUCCUUGUGAGUUGAUGUCAUCAAGGAUGAGGGAUAACUGGGGAUGAAUUGUUGGCUGGGGUUAUGUGAAUCCGAUGAAAAUGGGUUUCAUGAGAAAGGUGUGACUUUUGAGUAGACUAGUAAGAGCUGCUUCUGAAUAAGAUUAGUUUCUUAAUAGGAAAGAAAAAGAAAAUUGGAGGAAACUAUCAUGGCAAUGGGUUUAUUGAGGAUACCAGCGUCGUAAGUUUGUGACCUGGGAAAUUUUAUCUUGAAGUAAAUGCUGGAUUUAUAUA